UACGAAGGGGGCUAGCGUUGCUCGGAAUCACUGGGCGUAAAGGGCGCGUAGGCGGCCAUUCAAGUCGGAGGUGAAAGCCCAGGGCUCAACCCUGGAACUGCCUUUGAUACUGGGUGUCUUGAGUCCGGAAGAGGUGAGUGGAAUUCCGAGUGUAGAGGUGAAAUUCGUAGAUAUUCGGAGGAACACCAGUGGCGAAGGCGGCUCACUGGUCCGGUACUGACGCUGAGGUGCGAAAGCGUGGGGAGCAAACAGG
rnacentral:rRNA from 1 species